GAUGGGGGGAUUUAUAGAGUAUCAGUCAUGUUUAUUAGGAUAGAGGGGGGGAUUUAUAGAGUAUCAGUCAUGUUUAUUAGGAUGGAGGGGAUUUAUAGAGUAUCAGUCAUGUUUAUUAGGAUAGAGGGGGGGAUUUAUAGAGUAUCAGUCAUGUUUAUUAGGAUGGAGGGGAUUUAUAGAGUAUCAGUCAUGUUUAUUAGGAUGGAUGGGGGGAUUUAUAGAGUAUCAGUCAUGUUUAUUAGGAUGGAGGGGAUUUAUAGAGUAUCAGUCAUGUUUAUUAGGAUAAG
ensembl:lncRNA